rnacentral:rRNA from 1 species
UACGUAGGGUGCGAGCGUUGUCCGGAAUUAUUGGGCGUAAAGAGCUUGUAGGCGGUUUGUCGCGUCUGCUGUGAAAAUCCGGGGCUCAACCCCGGACUUGCAGUGGGUACGGGCAGACUAGAGUGUGGUAGGGGAGACUGGAAUUCCUGGUGUAGCGGUGAAAUGCGCAGAUAUCAGGAGGAACACCGGUGGCGAAGGCGGGUCUCUGGGCCGAUACUGACGCUGAGGGACGAAAGCUAGGGGAGCGAAUGGG